rnacentral:rRNA from 1 species
UACGUAGGGGGCGAGCGUUGUCCGGAGUUACUGGGCGUAAAGGGCAUGCAGGCGGUCCGACACGUUUUGUGUGACAGCGGGUGGCUUAACUACCCGAGGAUACGAAAGACGGUUGGACUUGAGGACUCGAGAGGGACACGGAAUUCCGGGUGGAGUGGUGAAAUGCGUAGAGAUCCGGAGGAACACCGAAAGCGAAGGCAGUGUCCUGGCUGGUGACUGACGCUGAGGUGCGAAAGCUAGGGGAGCGAACGGG